GGCAUUAAUGUAAUACUCUACUGCCAGACAUGAUAAUAGUCAAUAGCCCACCUACUGAAUUAUAUUCAGAAAGCACUUUCUGAAAAGAGAGAAAACUUAAUGAAAAAAAUCAGCCAGAAAGAUAACUAAUUAAAAUUGGAGAUUUCUCCAUUCCAUCUUUAAUUUUCUUCAAGUACCAACAGCAUCAGAUGCACAGAUGACAGCUUUACAGAAACUGCUUAGCCAGCUCCUACAAUUGUGUAAGGGAUUUAUUCAGCUUGGAGCUUAGCUGAUUCAACCUCAUAUAUGUCAUGACAACAUGGAUGCUCAAUUGGAGAAUAC